AGAAGAUUCAACAUCCACUUCUAGGUAAUCUUCGUACAAAGCUAUUCAAUUUUUUUGUUUCAGCAAAAAAGAGGAGUUGCCUCAAACUUGUGCAUUUUGCCUAUAUCCCAGCGGGACUUGCUUUUUAUUUUCCCUGUUUGCAAGCAAGAAGCUUUGCCAGCUACUUCCAGGUAAAUUUCACACAUCCCCAAUAGCUUUCCAACUAGUUUUUUCUGCCUCCCCAGUAGCUGGCUAUUAGCUUUUUUGUUCCAGCAAAUACAUGGAGUUGCCUGAAACUUAUAUGCAAAUUGCCUACAUCACAUGAACACUUGCUUUUUGCCACUGGCUUAGAUCUCCAGUGAACAUAAUCCAUCUGUAUGUUACAAGUAUCAUCAUCAUUACCUGAGACUUUAUGAUUAAUGUCACCGUCCUAGGCAUAUAUCAGAGUUUGUCAGCAUGUUCCCUGCCUUGUUCCUUCUUGGGAACUCAUGUUUAUCAUGCAUGUCAAAUUUGCCCAUUUCGUAGUUCUUCACCCUGUCCUGAUAUUCAUUUGUUGCUUUCAAUGAGUCCGAGGUUGUGUAUGUUCCCUGUGUCAACUCUGAAUUGUUGUCAUGUGUAGUUUGGGGGCAAUGCAAAAUGCAAUGGCCAGCAGGUGUGCUCUUGUAGAAUACAACUGCAAGAGAAGCAUGGCACAUCCCUGACAAACACGGCGCCGUGUUUUACAUGAAUUGGUCCUCCUUAUAGCUUGCUUUUUUUAAGAAGUUGUGAGUUGUACAUUUUUCACACAGAAGGUGAUUUAGUGACAUCUGAGGGAUGUUUUCUUGUGUGUGAAAACUGAAAAUAGGUGCACUGAAAACUUGUCAAUAUAAUUUUGUUUUUUGCUUCUUGGUACCAGGAUGAUGAAGUUGUGUCGGUGUUUGGGUGUUCGUCGGAAACGAUGCGUAUAGAGGAUCUUCUUGCAGACUGGAAUGACAAAGACCUUUGCGCAUGAUCUGCAUGUUAGGUUGGUGAUUUGAUUUUUGUCUGAUGAGUGUUGUAGUAGUUACACAACUUGUGCCUGAGAAUGUAGUAGUUUUUAUAAUUGAUGAUUAUGCUUUCUUCUAAGUUAAUGAUUCUACAGUAACCUACCCUACUUGCCUAAUAAUGUCAGCAAGUUGCGCAGAAUAAAUGUUUUUGGCAUAUGAAUGUGGCAACCAGUAAGAGAUUGAGGAGAGAGGUCUUGUAGUGCCGGUAACCAGCAAGCGAAUUAGGAGCGAGAGCCAAGAGGGCGCCACCAUUUAUGUGUCGUGACCACCUAGCAGGGAGGAGCUAGAUCCAGAAAAUCUUUUUCCUAGUGGUCGAGAAUUGGCCCGCAAAUCUC
rnacentral:lncRNA from 1 species